CCCUUAGAUGUUCUGGGCUGCACGCGUGCUACACUGAUAUUGCCAAUAUGUCAUUCUUAUCCGAAAUGGAUUGGGUAAUCAAGUAAUGAAAUUUCAUGCUUGGAAUCGGUAAUUGCAAUUUUAUCGUGAACGAGGAAUCCCUAGUAAGCACUAGUCAUCAGCUAAUGUUGAUUAUGUCCCUGCCCUUUGUACACACCGCCCGUCGCUACUACUGAUUGGGUGUUCAAGUGAGAUGCUUAGACCCUUGUUGCAUGGUUCAUUAUUGUGCUCCGAAAGGAAAAAGUUUCAAGCUUGAGUGUCUAGAGGAAGUAAAAGUCGUAACA
rnacentral:rRNA from 1 species